AUGGCCGCAAUGUUCAAUCCUCCUCCGGCUCCAAUGGCUCUUGGGCCGCAGCCGACGUGGAUGCCCUACGAGCCGACGAGGGAUUGCUCCCAGGGCCUGUGCAGCAUGUACUGCCCGCAGUGGUGCUACUUCAUCUUCCCGCCCCCGCCGCCGGUUUUCGAUAUCGCCGGGCCCAGCGGCGACGGCGACGGCGACGACUCCUCCGGCCCCGCCUUCUCGCCCCUCGUCAUCGCCAUCAUCGGGGUGCUCGCCAGCGCCUUCCUCCUCGUCAGUUACUACACCAUCAUCUCCAAGUACUGCGGCACCUUCAGUUCCCUGCGGAACAGGCUCUUUGGCUCCGGCGCCGGCCGCGGCGGCGGCGGGGGCGGUGGGGACGGCCGGGGCGAUUCCAGGAGCCAGGAGGAGUGGGAGGUCUCGCCCUCGGACGGGAUGGACGAGACGCUGAUCAGCAAGAUCACCGUGUGCAAGUACAAGCGCGGCGACGGGUUCGUCGACUCCACCGACUGCUCCGUCUGCCUGGGCGAGUUCCAGGACGGCGAGAGCCUGCGGCUGCUGCCCAAGUGCAGCCACGCCUUCCACUUGCCAUGCAUCGACACCUGGCUCAAGUCGCACUCCAAUUGCCCGCUCUGCCGCUGCAACAUCGCAUUCGUCGCCGUCGGCAUGGUUUCGCCGGAGCCGGAGGGCCGUGCUGCGCCACUGGAGGACCGGAGGGGCAGCCACGAAUUCGCUCUGACGAUCGACGACUACUCCUCCGGGCAAGUGCGCGAAGAGCCACAGACCGUGCCGAGCAGCAACGGCGGCGGCAAUCAGGAGGCGAAGGAUCGUCCGGGGAGAUCCGAGGCAGCCAAUGGCGCAGUGGUCGAGAUCAGAGAGGACGGCGCCGUCCCGCCGGUCCCGGCCAGUGCGCCGCCUCCGAUGCCGGACACGCAGUGUGAAGCCCGCAUGUCCAUUGCCGACGUGUUGCAGGCCAGCCCAGAAGACGAGCGUACGGUGGGCAGGGAGGGCGGCCUCCUGCAGGCAGGCUCCUCGAGGCGGUGCCACGGGGAGCACAGCAAGGAUGGCGGCGGCCGAGCACCGCCGGAUGCACCGACGAAGAAGCUGCCGCCGGCUGGCAGGUCGUGCUUCAGCGGCAAGGGUGGCGGCAGAGGGAAGGAUUCAGGCCCUCCAGUGUAA
rnacentral:rRNA from 1 species